ACAAUUAAUAAGGGAAGUGUUUUGGAUCCUCAUUAGAAAGCAAGUAAUUGCAAGAGUGUUGUCAUGGUGCUAUAUCAGAAAAGUGAUAGUUCUGAAGAAAUCAUGAAAAUGGACAUGGAAUUUGAAAAGAAGACGACUUCACGCAAAGAUCGUUGUAGCAGACAAACUGGCAUCCUCCUAAUUCUAGGAGUUUGCAUGAUUGUUUUCAUGACCAUGACUUUUGUCAUCUUUUUGCAUCAACAAAGAAAAUUCUCCAUGCUGGAGAGUUGGAUGAACAGUCAGAGUUCAAAUCUGACUUCAGUCAAACA